AGCUUAUCUAUGAUGUUUUAAAAAUAAAUGUCUGAACAUAUGACUUCAUUAGUGAUUUCAAUGUAUAACUGAGAUAAGCG
rnacentral:snoRNA from 1 species